GGUGGUGGAACUCAGCAGUAGAGUACUUGCCUAACAUGCACGAGGCCCUGGGUUCUAUUCCCAAUGCUGCUA
rnacentral:tRNA from 1 species